UUUGAUGUUGCCUAUAUAUAGCCAAUAUCUGGAACCAUUCUUGCAGUGUGGAAGGACAAGGUUCACUUCUUUCUCCCUGGAACAAUGAGGCACUAUUUUUUUCUUCUGUCGUUUAGAUCUCCAAACUCUAGUUUGCUAUCCAUUUCUAAUGUGGAUUUUCACAGAGAAAGUCCGGAAAGAUGAUCACUGUUCAUGGCAUUUCAGGAAAAUCUCAUACUGGAGAGCCAAGUGACGAUGGGAUGCAUCAGAGAGAGAGAUAAAGAGAGUUAAAAGAGCCAAAGUUUUGUAUUCACAGAAGGAAGAGGUUUGUCAAAGAGAGAGUUGAAAGCUAAUGAGUGUACAAAGAAAAUUCUACAGAGGUGGGAAUAUGUUACAUGAUCCAUGCAACCACAACGAGUGAAUAAUGAAAUGAUGGAUAUGGAGGGAAGAUGGAGUCGUGGAAGAGAAACCUUGCCGAGUCAAUCAGAAAUUUUGGACCGAACACGUGGGCAAGAAGAACGAGCCACACAUCUUAAGUAUGGGUGUCAAUCGGUUCAGUUCCCUUUUUUUGUUCAAUUUUGGUUUGAUUUUGGAUAUAAUAUGUAUAUGUCAACAUCGAAUAAUUUUCAUAAUCUCAAUUUGAAUUUGAUCUGAAA